UGAGCCACUGUAUCUGGCUUUCUUUUUGGUGAGGCUCUCUACAAUGGUUAUGAUGAACUCAACCACUGAAUACCAACACCGUUUCUGCACAGACUUUGUCAGCAGUGAUACUGUCACAGGUUAAGGAUGGACUUUAGAACAAGGAACAGGAUAAGGAGCUUCCCUAGAUCUAUUAUUAAGUUUCUUGUUUGGAGAAAUAAAAUUAGGAAUUACAAACUGAUGGCAUUUCUCUCUGUAGGACAGAAAUUGUAUUCUCUGAAAUAGAAAGUUGACCAUUGCUAUCUGUCCUUAGAACAUCUGAAAGAGAUCGCAAUUAUGUCAAAGGAGCUAUCAUGUCCUAAGAAGUUUUCUUGUGACCCCAUCUUAUCACCUUCAAGACUCUGUAGUUCUGACAUAGCCUAGAUGCUACUUGAAAGCCUC